rnacentral:rRNA from 1 species
CCCUUAGAUGUUCUGGGCCGCACGCGCGCUACACUGUUUGAUUCAGCGAGUCUUAACCUUGACCGAAAGGUUUGGGUAAUCUUCUAAAGUCAAACGUGAUGGGGAUCGAUCAUUGCAAUUAUUGAUCGUGAACGAGGAAUUCCUAGUAAAUGCAAGUCAUCAGCUUGCGUUGAUUACGUCCCUGCCCUUUGUACACACCGCCCGUCGCUACUACCGAUUGAAUGGUUUAGUGAGAUCUCCGGAUUGGCUCUGUAGGUCCCGCAAGGGAUUUAUUAGUAGCCAAGAAGCUGCUCAAACUUGAUCAUUUAGAGGAAGUAAAAGUCGGAACA